AGCAAAAAUUUAAAAGUUCGCUUCUCUUCAACGAAAGCUUUGAAGCUUUUCGCGUCAUCAGGACAGCUCCAACGAUGCUCCUCAAAGACAUCCAUCUGCUGCCAAUUACGGGUUAGGAGAUUAUAAUACUGAGUGAUGCUCAACUCACCUUGCCGAAGAUCAUGGAGUGUCGAUUCGAUUUCGAAAAUAGCCGAGUUGUUCUCCUUGUUGGAGUAGAAUUCCUGAGCUGCCUUCCAGAUUUCGUAGGUAGUUUCGUAGAGAAGGAAAUUAUCUUUGAGUUCAGGAGUCAUCGAGAUGAUAAGUUAGGACAUGACCAUGCUGUCUUCAAUCUCCCAAACUUGCGCAUUUGAGUCGGGCACUGGAGGAGGCACGAGCUCGCCAAUGAGGUACCUAUAAUGCCAUUUUCCGCAGAUGAAUAAGUGGACAGACAACGACCAUUGAAGGAACUAGAGGAAACCUCUAGUGGAGAAGACAGAAGCUUACCCGUGGCCAUUGGAGAUGUUGGCUCAGCAGGGAUCUCUUUUCUUUUGGAUCAGGCACGGUUAUUGACUGGAGCCACAAUUGGCCUAGUUAUAGCUGGAGGAGCUUAUGUGAGUACUGUAGAUGAAGCAACUUUCUG